AACGAACGCUGGCGGCAUGCCUAACACAUGCAAGUCGAACGAGACCUUCGGGUCUAGUGGCGCACGGGUGCGUAACGCGUGGGAACCUGCCCUUAGGUUCGGAAUAACUCCCCGACAGGGGUGCUAAUACCGGAUAAUGUCUUCGGACCAAAGAUUUAUCGCCUUUGGAUGGGCCCGCGUUGGCUUAGCUGGUUGGUAGGGUAAAAGCCUACCAAGGCGACGAUCCAUAGCUGGUCUGAGAGGCUGAUCAGCCACACUGGGACUGAGACACGGCCCAGACUCCUACGGGAGGCAGCAGUGGGGAAUAUUGGACAAUGGGCGAAAGCCUGAUCCAGCAAUGCCGCGUGAGUGAUGAAGGCCUUAGGGUUGUAAAGCUCUUUUACCCGGGAUGAUAAUGACAGUACCGGGAGAAUAAGCUCCGGCUAACUCCGUG
rnacentral:rRNA from 1 species